UGCUGUGAACUCGAAGAGUAGGGCGGGACACGUGGUAUCCUGUCUGAAUAUGGGGGGACCAUCCUCCAAGGCUAAAUACUCCUGACUGACCGAUAGUGAACCAGUACCGUGAGGGAAAGGCGAAAAGAACCCCGGCGAGGGGAGUGAAAAAGAACCUGAAACCGUGUACGUACAAGCAGUGGGAGCCUMYUURUKRGGUGACUGCGUACCUUUUGUAUAAUGGGUCAGCGACUUAUAUUCUGUAGCAAGGUUAACCGUAUAGGGGAGCCGAAGGGAAACCGAGUCUUAACUGGGCGUUAAGUUGCAGGGUAUAGACCCGAAACCCGGUGAUCUAGCCAUGGGCAGGUUGAAGGUUGGGUAACACUAACUGGAGGACCGAACCGACUAAUGUUGAAAAAUUAGCGGAUGACCUGUGGCUGGGGGUGAAAGGCCAAUCAAACCGGGAGAUAGCUGGUUCUCCCCGAAAGCUAUUUAGGUAGCGCCUCGUGAACUCAUCUUCGGGGGUAGAGCACUGUUUCGGCUAGGGGGCCAUCCCGGCUUACCAACCCGAUGCAAACUACGAAUACCGAAGAAUGUUAUCACGGGAGACACACGGCGGGUGCUAACGUCCGUCGUGAAGAGGGAAACAACCCAGACCGCCAGCUAAGGUCCCAAAGUCAUGGUUAAGUGGGAAACGAUGUGGGAAGGCACAGACAGCCAGGAUGUUGGCUUAGAAGCAGCCAUCAUUUAAAGAAAGCGUAAUAGCUCACUGGUCGAGUCGGCCUGCGCGGAAGAUGUAACGGGGCUAAACCAUGCACCGAAGCUGCGGCAGCGACACUAUGUGUUGUUGGGUAGGGGAGCGUUCUGUAAGCCGUUGAAGGUGUGCUGUGAGGCAUGCUGGAGGUAUCAGAAGUGCGAAUGCUGACAUAAGUAACGAUAAAGCGGGUGAAAAGCCCGCUCGCCGGAAGACCAAGGGUUCCUGUCCAACGUUAAUCGGGGCAGGGUGAGUCGACCCCUAAGGCGAGGCCGAAAGGCGUAGUCGAUGGGAAACAGGUUAAUAUUCCUGUACUUGGUGUUACUGCGAAGGGGGGACGGAGAAGGCUAUGUCAGCCGGGCGACGGUUGUCCCGGUUUAAGCAUGUAGGCGGAGGUUCCAGGUAAAUCCGGUACCUUUUAACGCUGAGGUGUGAUGACGAGGCACUACGGUGCUGAAGUGAUAAAUGCCCUGCUUCCAGGAAAAGCCUCUAAGCAUCAGGUAACACGAAAUCGUACCCCAAACCGACACAGGUGGUCAGGUAGAGAAUACCAAGGCGCUUGAGAGAACUCGGGUGAAGGAACUAGGCAAAAUGGUGCCGUAACUUCGGGAGAAGGCACGCUGAUGUGUAGGUGAAGCCCCUGCGGGCGGAGCUGAAAUCAGUCGAAGAUACCAGCUGGCUGCAACUGUUUAUUAAAAACACAGCACUGUGCAAACACGAAAGUGGACGUAUACGGUGUGACGCCUGCCCGGUGCCGGAAGGUUAAUUGAUGGGGUYAGCGGCAACGCGAAGCUCUUGAUCGAAGCCCCGGUAAACGGCGGCCGUAACUAUAACGGUCCUAAGGUAGCGAAAUUCCUUGUCGGGUAAGUUCCGACCUGCACGAAUGGCGUAAUGAUGGCCAGGCUGUCUCCACCCGAGACUCAGUGAAAUUGAACUCGCUGUGAAGAUGCAGUGUACCCGCGGCAAGACGGAAAGACCCCGUGAACCUUUACUAUAGCUUGACACUGAACACUGGUCCUUGAUGUGUAGGAUAGGUGGGAGGCUUUGAAGCGUGGACGCCAGUCUGCGUGGAGCCRMCCUUGAAAUACCACCCUUUAAUGGCUGGUGUUCUAACGURGACCCGUWAYCCGGGUUGCGGACAGUGUCUGGUGGGUAGUUUGACUGGGGCGGUCUCCUCCCAAAGAGUAACGGAGGAGCACGAAGGUUGGCUAAUCCUGGUCGGACAUCAGGAGGUUAGUGCAAUGGCAUAAGCCAGCUUGACUGCGAGCGUGACGGCGCGAGCAGGUGCGAAAGCAGGUCAUAGUGAUCCGGUGGUUCUGAAUGGAAGGGCCAUCGCUCAACGGAUAAAAGGUACUCCGGGGAUAACAGGCUGAUACCGCCCAAGAGUUCAUAUCGACGGCGGUGUUUGGCACCUCGAUGUCGGCUCAUCACAUCCUGGGGCUGAAGUAGGUCCCAAGGGUAUGGCUGUUCGCCAUUUAAAGUGGUACGCGAGCUGGGUUUAGAACGUCGUGAGACAGUUCGGUCCCUAUCUGCCGUGGGCGCUGGAGAAUUGAGGGGGGCUGCUCCUAGUACGAGAGGACCGGAGUGGACGCAUCACUGGUGUUCGGGUUGUCAUGCCAAUGGCACUGCCCGGUAGCUAAAUGCGGAAGAGAUAAGUGCUGAAAGCAUCUAAGCACGAAACUUGCCCCGAGAUGAGUUCUCCCUGAGAC
rnacentral:rRNA from 1 species